ensembl:lncRNA
GUCUGUUGGAGGUGUAAGGUAGUCUGUUGGAGGUGUAAGGUAGUCUGUUGGAGGUGUAAGGUGAUCUGUGGGAGGUGUAAGGUAGUCUGUUGGAGGUGUAAGGUAGUCUGUGGGAGGUGUAAGGUAGUCUGUUGGAGGUGUAAGGUAGUCUGUGGGAGGUGUAAGGUAGUCUGUUGGAGGUGUAAGGUAGUCUGUUGGAGGUGUAAGUUAGUCUGUGGGAGGUGUAAGGUAGUCUGUGGGCGGUGUAAGGUAGUCUGAUGGAGGUGUAAGGUAGUUUGUGGGAGGUGUAAGGUAGUCUGUGGGCGGUGUAAGGUAGUCUGAUGGAGGUGUAAGGUAGUUUGUGGUAGGUGUAAGGUAGUCUGUUGGAGGUGUAAGGUAGUCUGUUGGAGGUGUAAGGUGGUCUGUGGGAGAUGUAAGGUAGUCUGUUGGAGGUGUAAGGUAGUCUGUGGGAGGUGUAAGGUAGUCUGUGCGAAGUGUAAGGUAGUCUGUUGGAGGUGUAAGGUAGUCUGUGGGAGGUGUAAAGUAGUCUGUGGGAGGUGUAAGGUAGUCUGUUGGAGGUGUAACGUAGUCUGUUGGAGGUGUAAGGUAGUUUGUGGGAGGUGUAAGGUGGUCUGUGGGUGGUGUAAGGUAGUCUGUUGGAGGUGUAAAGUAGUCUGUGGGAGGUGUAGGGUAGUCUGUUGGAGGUGUAAGUUAGUCUGUUGGAAGUGUAAGGUAGUCUGAUGGAGGUGUAAGGUAGUUUGUGGGAGGUGUAAGGUAGUCUGUUGGAGGUGUAAGGUAGUCUGUGGGAGGUGUAAGGUAGUCUGUUGGAGGUGUAAGGUAGUUUGUGGGAGGUGUAAGGUAGUCUGUUGGAGGUGUAAGGUAGUCUGUUGGAGGUGUAUGGUAGUCUGUGGGAGGUGUAAGGUAGUCUGUGGGAG